rnacentral:rRNA from 1 species
AUACGGAGGAUGCGAGCGUUAUCCGGAUUCAUUGGGUUUAAAGGGUGCGCAGGCGGCCGUGCAAGUCAGCGGUGAAAGCCCGGGGCUCAACCCCGGAAGUGCCGUUGAUACUGCAUGGCUGGAAUGCGGUCGAGGCGGGCGGAACGUGGCGUGUAGCGGUGAAAUGCGUAGAUAUGCCACAGAACGCCGAUAGCGGAGGCAGCUCGCCAGGCCUGCAUUGACGCUCGGGCACGAAAGCGUGGGGAUCGAACAGGAUUAGAUCCCCUGGUAGUCCACGCCGUAAACGAUGGGCGCUCGUCGUCGGCGGCAGACAGUCGGCGGCCAAGCGAAAGCGAUAAGCGCCCCACCUGGGGAGUACGGUCGCAAGGCUGAAACUCAAAUGAAUUGACGGGG